rnacentral:rRNA from 1 species
AAUAGAUACCCCGGUAGUCCACGCCGUAAACGAUGAAUACUAGGUGUGGGGGUUGUCAUGACCUCCGUGCCGCCGCUAACGCAUUAAGUAUUCCGCCUGGGGAGUACGGUCGCAAGAUUAAAGCUCAAAGGAAUUGACGGGGGCCCGCACAAGCAGCGGAGCAUGUGGUUUAAUUCGAAGCAACGCGAAGAACCUUACCUAGACUUGACAUCUCCUGAAUUACUCUUAAUCGAGGAAGUCACUUCGGUGACAGGAAGACAGGUGGUGCAUGGUUGUCGUCAGCUCGUGUCGUGAGAUGUUGGGUUAAGUCCCGCAACGAGCGCAACCCCUAUUGUUAGUUGCUACCAUUUAGUUGAGCACUCUAGCGAGACUGCCCGGGUUAACCGGGAGGAAGGUGGGGAUGACGUCAAAUCAUCAUGCCCCUUAUGUCUAGGGCUACACACGUGCUACAAUGGCUGGUACAGAGAGAUGCGAUACCGUGAGGUGGAGCCAAACUUCAGAACCAGUCUCAGUUCGGAUUGUAGGCUG